rnacentral:rRNA from 1 species
GAUCAUGACUCAGGAUGAACGCUAGCUACAGGCUUAACACAUGCAAGUCGAGGGGCAGCAUGGUCUUAGCUUGCUAAGGCCGAUGGCGACCGGCGCACGGGUGAGUAACACGUAUCCAACCUGCCGUCUACUCUUGGACAGCCUUCUGAAAGGAGGAUUAAUACAAGAUGGCAUCAUGAGUUCACAUGUUCACAUGAUUAAAGGUAUUCCGGUAGACGAUGGGGA